CUAUACAUGACUCUGCGCAUAUCAAUAAGCGGAGGAAAAGAAACUAACAAGGAUUCCCCUUAGUAACGGCGAGUGAAGCGGGAAGAGCUCAAAUUUGAAAUCUUAAAGGGUUUCCCUUUACGAAUUGUAGUUUAAAGAAGUGUUUUCUGUUGAGGUUUUGGUAAAAGUUCUUUGGAAUAGGACAUCAUAGAGGGUGAGAAUCCCGUAUUUGACCUUUACUUUCAACUUUGUGAUACACUUUCAAAGAGUCGGAUUGUUUGGGAAUGCAGUCCAAAAUGGGUGGUAAAUUUCAUCUAAAGCUAAAUAUUGGCGAGAGACCGAUAGCGAACAAGUACCGUGAGGGAAAGAUGAAAAGAACUUUGAAAAGAGAGUUAAACAGUACGUGAAAUUGUCAAAAGGGAAGCGUUUGACACCAGUGUUGUUUUUCUGAAAAUCAAUUAAAGAACUGUUUAUGCUAAGUUGUUUAGACUUUAUCAGCUAACUGUUUAGUUUUGAGCUUUUCUUUAAUGCACUUUUCAGUUAACAAGUCAACAUCAAUUUCUUUUGCUGUAAAAAAGCUUGAGGAAGGUGGCUUGAGAUUCGUCUUAAGUGUUUAUAGCCUCUUGCCUAUGCAGUCGGAGAGAUUGAGGUCUGCAGCGUAGAUCCUUCGGGGCUAAAUGCAUUUGUGCUAAGUUAUAGCAUUUUAUAGACAACUUGUUGACUAUGAUUUGUCUUGUAGCUUACUCGCUUAUGUUAUUUUACCUACGCUUAGGAUGUUGACAGCAGUAUAGACUGU
rnacentral:rRNA from 1 species